UACGUAGGGUGCAAGCGUUGUCCGGAAUUAUUGGGCGUAAAGAGCUCGUAGGCGGUCUGUCGCGUCUGCUGUGAAAACUCAGGGCUUAACCCUGAGCUUGCAGUGGGUACGGGCAGACUAGAGUGCGGUAGGGGAGACUGGAAUUCCUGGUGUAGCGGUGAAAUGCGCAGAUAUCAGGAGGAACACCCGUGGCGAAGGCGGCUUCCUGGGCCGCGCCUGACGCUGAGACGCGAAAGCGUGGGGAGCGAACGGG
rnacentral:rRNA from 1 species